GCUGAGACCAGUCGAAGAUACCAGCUGGCUGCAACUGUUUAUUAAAAACACAGCACUGUGCAAACACGAAAGUGGACGUAUACGGUGUGACGCCUGCCCGGUGCCGGAAGGUUAAUUGAUGGGGUUAUCCGUAAGGAGAAGCUCUUGAUCGAAGCCCCGGUAAACGGCGGCCGUAACUAUAACGGUCCUAAGGUAGCGAAAUUCCUUGUCGGGUAAGUUCCGACCUGCACGAAUGGCGUAAUGAUGGCCAGGCUGUCUCCACCCGAGACUCAGUGAAAUUGAACUCGCUGUGAAGAUGCAGUGUACCCGCGGCAAGACGGAAAGACCCCGUGAACCUUUACUAUAGCUUGACACUGAACAUUGAGCCUUGAUGUGUAGGAUAGGUGGGAGGCUUUGAAGCGUGGACGCCAGUCUGCGUGGAGCCAACCUUGAAAUACCACCCUUUAAUGUUUGAUGUUCUAACGUUGGCCCCUUACCGGGGUUGCGGACAGUGUCUGGUGGGUAGUUUGACUGGGGCGGUCUCCUCCCAAAGCGUAACGGAGGAGCACGAAGGUUAGCUAAUCCUGGUCGGACAUCAGGAGGUUAGUGCAAUGGCAUAAGCUAGCUUGACUGCGAGCGUGACGGCGCGAGCAGGUGCGAAAGCAGGUCAUAGUGAUCCGGUGGUUCUGAAUGGAAGGGCCAUCGCUCAACGGAUAAAAGGUACUCCGGGGAUAACAGGCUGAUACCGCCCAAGAGUUCAUAUCGACGGCGGUGUUUGGCACCUCGAUGUCGGCUCAUCACAUCCUGGGGCUGAAGUAGGUCCCAAGGGUAUGGCUGUUCGCCAUUUAAAGUGGUACGCGAGCUGGGUUUAGAACGUCGUGAGACAGUUCGGUCCCUAUCUGCCGUGGGCGCUGGAGAAUUGAGGGGGGCUGCUCCUAGUACGAGAGGACCGGAGUGGACGCAUCACUGGUGUUCGGGUUGUCAUGCCAAUGGCACUGCCCGGUAGCUAAAUGCGGAAGAGAUAAGUGCUGAAAGCAUCUAAGCACGAAACUUGCCCCGAGAUGAGUUCUCCCUGAGACUUUAAGUCUCCUGAAGGAACGUUGAAGACGACGACGUUGAUAGGCCGGGUGUGUAAGCGCAGCGAUGCGUUGAGCUAACCGGUACUAAUGAACCGUGAGGCUUAACCUU
rnacentral:rRNA from 1 species